GGCUUCACUCAAGCAGAAUCCCAUUGCCUUCACUGGGAACACUUCCCAGCAUUGGAUUCAAACUUUUUCCCCACUUAUCAUUUGGGAAAGGGCUGAACAGAACCCCUGCAGGGCCCCAGCACUGCUGGAAGAAAAGAUCUUUUUUCAUUCUUGUUAUUGGAUGCAGUGAGAAAUAUUUCUAGAGGAUAUGGUGUUUUGAUAAGAGUUUGUAUCAUACCUGUGAAUAUGUUUGAUUAAAGCAAGACUUACCCUCAGCAAUGAUGUGGAGGGGCAAAUGUAAGAGCAAUGCCCCAAAAGUGCUUGGGAAGAUCAUUUCUUUGAAGAUUUUAACUUUCCCAGUAGUUUUUUUGUGAGUAUCUUUCAAUUCAGGAUGCAAAGGAAGCACUGAAUCAACCUGCACUGCUUAAUCCAGCUGAGAAAAUUGUAAAGGGAAGGAGCAAAUACACCUGGAUAAAAUGAUGGGACUUAUGUCUGGCACUGUGUGGUAAGAUCCAAAUACUUUGAGGGCACCUGGUUGUGAAGGACUUAGGAAAUGUUCAUCCUGGGAAUGUUUGACAGCUUCCCACAUCCUGAUGUCUGAUGCAUUUGGGAUUUUCUGUCCACAGGGAUUUCUGCAGGUUUGGUAAAUCCUUUUCCAAGUUCUGAAGUGGGGAAAUACCUGAACUCUCCAAGAUACAGAUAAAUUACCCUGGGCAGUGUUCCAGGACCUGCAGGACAGCAGAGGCUGCAGCCUCUGGAUGAGGACAGGACCAACCAGCUCCUGCUUGGAAGAGCCUCCAAGCCAGGCAAGGCCUGGGAAGCAGGGAUGCUCCUCCCUGCUGGUGUGUCAGGAGCUGCAGAGAAUUGGUAACAGAGUCCAGAACGAGACAUUCCGAGUCUCAGGCCUGUUUUUCACAGCAACUUGUUCCCUGAGGUCAAAUGUGUGGUGAGCAGAGGAGGCUCAGUGAGCAGCACAUGGAAUCAUGGAAUCACAGAGUAUUUGGGUUGGAAGGAACAUUAAAGAUGGUCUCAUUCCCACCCCCUGCCAUGGGAAGGGACAUCUUCCAUCUCUACAUCCUCUGCCCACGAGCUGCACCACGAGCAAAUAUCUUCCUAAGGUGAAGCUGGUGGUGCUGCUGGCCAGGAUUUGAGAGAUGAGGGCUCAUCCCAGGCAUUCCCAGGUAAUGCAGUUUAUCCAAAUAUUCACCACAGCAGCUGGUCCCUUCUCAGAGGCACGUCUAUACGAUAGAAAAAAGAGCCAUAAUUCAUUUAAAGCUGACCUGUAUUUAAGAAUUAUUGUACAUUGCCUUUCAGUGAGACAGCUUAUCCUGAAAUUGUUCUUAUUUGCUAUCUCAGUUUGAGUGUGGGAAUGAAUGAUGACAUAUGAGCAACGUGUGAAAGAAUGGGCUCCUCACCUUUGAAUGGCUGUUGAUUAAAGCAGAUCCAUUAAUAGGGCAGGAACGAGAAGCACUUUUUCCUGUGUGGAUUCUCUGGCACAUAAUGAGGUCUGGAUUUAUAUCACGGCCUUUUCCUUCCCACAAAUGCCAGUAUAAAUCUGACUGCUUUGCUGUCUCCCUCCAGCCUGGCCAUUCCAUGGGAGCUCUGAUCUCUUCCUGGACUUCCCUGCAGCUGCACUGCCCCAGGUAACAUGUUUUGUGCUGUACAGAGGCAGACAGCCAUUUUCUCACAAGCUCCUUGAGGUAAAAGUUUGUGAGAGCUGUCACAACACAUUCACAACACAUCGUGUUCCGGAGCUCGUUGCCGGCGGCACACGGAGAGAACCAGCCCUGCACCCAGGACCAACCCACCAGAGCAAGCUGGGACUGUGUGGUCCAAGGCCACUGAGUUCCUGAGGCUUUGUGGAGGAGUUUGCAGCCCUGGAGCUGCAGGACGGGCUGUCCUGUACAACCCAUUCCAGCCGGGAAGUCUGAGUGGAAACCAUCCUGAGGACAAGGCUGGCUGGGGGUAGCCCAGCUUCCAGGGAGAACAAUCCCCAUCUUCCAAUCCAAACUGUGGGAAGGACGCUGGAAAAGGAGGAACUGGAGACCAAAGCUCUUUCUUUGUAGCUCUUUGGUUGAGAAGAAGAAAUGAAAAGCUCAGUCUGGAGUCUCUAAUUGUGAGUCAGUCGCCCACAGGCAGAGUGUUCCUGGUCCACUGCUGUUCGAGGGGACUGGAGUUUCCAGCCUGUUUCAAAUGUAGAACUUCUGGCAACAACUGCAGCCAGUGCACUGCAAACUCCUGCAGCAGAUGCAACAUCAAGCCACAGUGCAGGGAAGAGCUGGGGAAGCUGAAUCUUUCACAAGAAUCCUGCAAUUGGGGUAUUUUCCUUAAAACCCUGAGCUGAGCCUCCUCGAUGCAAAUGAACACAUUUGUGUGACUUCCUCCAUCCCAGGAGCUCUGACAUUGUCUCUCAGCUGCCCAGAAUUCCAACAGUCCCUUUUUGUUGGCUGUGGAUCUUCACCCCAUGUGCCAGCAAGGGCUGCUGUGGGGACAGGACGUCCACCCCGUGGAUGUGGUGCUCUGGAAGAGCCACCAUUAAACGUGCAUCACCUUCUGCUCUUCCCUAGUGGUUGGGAGCAGGGACAUGGUUAGAAGGAAGGAAGGAGGAGGAUGGAGAUCUGAGCAUUUCCAGUUUCCAGGCAGGUACUUCCAAGGGGCAACGAGCCCUGCCCAGCCCUCCCAGCCCUGCCCUGUGCUCCAUCAGCUCACCUGAUGCAAGGCAAGAUAGAGAGUACUUUGCUUACCUCCUUAGCUGGGUGAGACCAUUAGCUCCUGGAUGAGAUGGUUAUGCUGUAAUUUGUUGCUCCGUAUUCUACAUAUUUUAAACCAGUUGAUGACCUUUAAAAGGAAUUAAUUUUUUUUAAUAUUUUUCAGUGCUUAGGUAUUUUAAUCUGUUCUUUACAUUUCCUUUUAGGACCACAUUUAAAUUUUUUAAAUAUUUAAUUAAAAGCCCACCUCUGUGUGCCUUAAUAUGAAGCUCUCAUUUGAUUUCAUUUUAUAUCUGUGACAUAAAUCUUUGCUCCUUAUUUUAGCUUUGUCUGUAAUGCAACCACUGAGGCAAAUGCUAAAGAUGUCUCUGAUUUUCUGUCAGGAUCAGGAUUUUCACAGAAUUCAGAGUAAGGCAAUGCUUCUUCAGUCUUGUUCUCACAUUUUAAGAAUAAAAGUCAAUGAAAUGCCACUACAGAUAUAUUUUUUUGGUGCUGCAAAUUGCAUUUUGAUGAAUCUCCACUCCUUCAGCACUGCCAGGAAGCCUCCCUUGUUGCUUCUAGCAAGAAUUGUCAUGGUGAUGCAUUCUGUUGACCACAUUUUUGAAACACAGAUUGUUUCUAAUUUUGUUUCUCCAAUUUACUCUGUGCUGCAAUAUCUCUGGUUCUCUCUCUCACUCUCUGUUUUUUUGAAGAUUUCUGUCACGACAGAUUAUAAAUACCCCCCUGGUGGGCUCUGCCCUCUCACCUUCACAUCACAGAACGUGCUGGCUGAGAUCCCCUCCUGCCUCCUCCCUCCGGGGGUUUGGGCUGUGGCUCCAGCACCAAACCACGAUGGGUUUGGCCGAGCUGGCCUUGUCCCCAUGUGCUGGCACCCAAAUGCCAGAGGGCACCUCACCUCCUGCUCCCAGAGCACUCGGCUG